AGAGGUUUUUCUGUUACAACCUUAUCAGUGGAAAAAAAAUUUGACACUUUUUCAUUGAGUAAACUACUUGUGAGAACAUCGUUACUUUUCAGUUCUAUACAAAAGUUAAACCAUAAUUUACUUCUCAAUAAUUUGUUCAUUUGCUGGUCUAUUCUUAGUACAAUUGUGUAAGACAAAUGUGUGUGGAGCUGAACCUGGGAAUUACAACAAGACUGUUCUAAAUGAUUAGACAACACAGUGUUUCUAUUUUAUUUGCCAGUAUUAAACAAAUUCAAUAAUGAAACCAUGCUGCUGGUGAAUAUAGGAGCCAUCA